UGGAUCUGAGCACCCCAAAGUCGUUGCUGGCUUCUGCCGUUUGUCAACGUAACCAUCAGAGGAACCACCAUAUACUUGUGAGGGCAAGCAAACAUGCUCUUGUACGCAUUUCCAGUGUCCACAGCUCAAAUGUCAAAAGACAAGGGAAAAGAUCAGAAAGCUUGUCUCCACAACUUGCAGCCUAGCAGAAGCUCUCAACCUCCCUGGCUGCUCCCGGAACCCAAUUACGUUAGCGACUGGAUUGUACAGCCUAGAUCAUUCAAGCUCUUGUUUGCAUGAAUUGCAGAGGAGCAAAGGAGGAAAUAAGCAAAAACAGCAGAUCUGAGAUCCAGAUAUGAGGACAAGAUCUAAAACACUCGCCGCUCAUAGAUUCUAAUCACGGCUCAAGAUCUCUACUGCCUCCUCAGUGCUGGAAGCCGUGUGUUGGGAGCAAGGGGCCUAGGUUAUUUGCCAACAGCACUUCAGCGAGUUCAAGACCAAAAGGCAUCA